UACGUAGGGGGCAAGCGUUGUCCGGAUUUAUUGGGCGUAAAGAGCGUGUAGGCGGCCAGAAAGGUCUGCUGUUAAAACUCGAGGCUCAACCUCGAGGGGUCGGUGGAAACCAUCUGGCUAGAGUCCGGAAGAGGAGAGUGGAAUUCCCGGUGUAGCGGUGAAAUGCGCAGAUAUCGGGAAGAACACCCGUGGCGAAGGCGGCUCUCUGGGACGGUACUGACGCUGAGACGCGAAAGCUAGGGGAGCAAACGGG
rnacentral:rRNA from 1 species